UACGAAGGGUGCUAGCGUUGUUCGGAAUUACUGGGCGUAAAGCGCGCGUAGGCGGUAAGCCAAGUCAGGGGUGAAAUCCCACAGCUCAACUGUGGAAUUGCCUUUGAAACUGGCAUACUUGAGUGUCGGAGGGGAUAGCGGAAUUGCUAAUGUAGAGGUGAAAUUCGUAGAUAUUAGCAGGAACACCGGUGGCGAAGGCGGCUAUCUGGACGACAACUGACGCUGAGGCGCGAAAGCGUGGGGAUCAAACAGG
rnacentral:rRNA from 1 species